GGAUUAGAUACCCUGGUAGUCCUAGCUGUAAACGAUGGAUACUAGACGUAGGAACUGGAUUGACGGUUUCUGUGUCGCAGCUAACGCGUUAAGUAUCCCGCCUGGGGAGUACGGUCGCAAGACUAAAACUCAAAGGAAUUGACGGGACCCCGCACAAGCGGCGGAGCAUGCGGCUUAAUUCGAAGCAACGCGAAGAACCUUACCGGCCCUUGACAUGUUAGGUUUCGACUUUCAGAGAUGAAAGUUUUCAGUUCGGCUGGGCUUAAUACAGGUGCUGCAUGGCUGUCGUCAGCUCGUGUUG
rnacentral:rRNA from 1 species